ACAAGACACGACUCUGAUUAGGGUAAUAACAGAAAUCAGACUGGAGACCUCACUGGGGAGUGAAGGACUCACACUGGGGAAAAGAAGAUUCCAAAGGAAAAACAUCCAUUGGAGAGACACAAGCUGACUCCUGGGAAGAAGCAAUAGGAAACUCCACUGAGGAAGCACCAAAGAAUGAGGCGUUACCGGUAUAAGGGUAACAAACUCAGGAAGAAUGAAUAUCUAAGACCGGUAUAAGGGUGAGAGAUAUCAAUCAACCAAAC
rnacentral:lncRNA from 1 species